rnacentral:rRNA from 1 species
UACGUAGGGGGCAAGCGUUGUCCGGAUUUAUUGGGCGUAAAGAGCGUGUAGGCGGCCCGGUAAGUCCGCUGUGAAAGUCCAGGGCUCAACCCUGGGAUGCCGGUGGAUACUGUCGGGCUCGAGUCCGGAAGAGGAGUGUGGAAUUCCUGGUGUAGCGGUGAAAUGCGCAGAUAUCGGGAAGAACACCCGUGGCGAAGGCGGCUCUCUGGGACGGUACUGACGCUGAGACGCGAAAGCGUGGGGAGCGAACAGG